rnacentral:rRNA from 1 species
GACAGAGGUGCCAAGCGUUAGGCGGAAUCACUGGGCUUAAAGCGUGUGUAGGUGGAUUUGUAAGUACCUUGUGAAAUCCCACGGCUCAACCGUGGAACUGCUCGGUAUACUGCGAAUCUUGAGCCACUUAGGGGCUACCGGAACAAAUGGUGGAGCGGUGAAAUGCGUAGAGAUCGGGAGGAACACCAGCGGCGAAGGCGGCGACCUGGACAGUAACUGACACUCAACUACGAAAGCGUGGGGAGCAAACAGG